CCCAACCGACAACCUUCUCCACUAUGGUAACGAUGAAUUUCUGCUUUCAUCUCAUCAUCCGACAUAGCGAAGAAGGUCUCCAAAUCACCUGGCUUGUUCAAAAGCAACCUGCAAGCCUUGAUACUCAUCAAUCUCGUCACACCUGGCACACGUGCCAGCUCGUCCAUCACAAACUGACGUUUCUCUGUAAUGUCAUCGGGUUAACAUGUGCAUUCUGAUAUUUAUUGAGAAUAAUGACGAAACAUACUUCAACAGUACUAACUUGUAGUACAACAUUAUACUUGCAGCAACAUCACAAUAUCACCACCUCUUAUGUAAUUAUAGCAAGACAUGAAAUUAUAAUAAGUUAAGGAGAAGGUAAAAAGGACAAUAAUUCUGACCAACCGCUUAGGCAAUAUACGAAUGCCAUAUUCCAGUUACAAACACCGAGCACAUUAAUGACAGUUACUGAUUUACGAUUUCGGUACUUUGGUGCAUCCUCAGACGAACACCGUACAGACACCAUCAUCCCAUCCAACGCUUCUAAACAACCAUGUGACACACAGAUUUUUAUGAUUAGUCUCAUAAAUACCGAGUAGAGAAGUAAACCAUAUGGGACUUGGUCUUCCCUCCUAUCGGUAAGAAAUAAGACUUGGACUAUGGCUAGUUGUGACAAAAUGAACACAUACUGUUGCAUUAUUUGGAACCACAAGGUAAUAAUGGUGGUUAUUACCUUUUGUCGUUCUCGGCAACCUGGUUGUCUAGCCAUAUGUAUGUUGUAU
rnacentral:lncRNA from 1 species